rnacentral:rRNA from 1 species
CUUACCGGGUCCGGACACACUGAGGAUUGACAGGCGCAAGGAGCCUUGGCUCUGUAAAUUUGCUAGUCCUUUCAUGAUUGUGUGAUAGGUGGUGCAUGGCCGUUCUUAGUUCGUGGAAUAAUCUGUCUGCUUAAUUGCGUUUUU